CAGGAUUAGAUACCCUGGUAGUCCACGCCGUAAACGAUGUCGACUUGGAGGUUGUGCCCUUGAGGCGUGGCCUCCGGAGCUAACGCGUUAAGUCGACCGCCUGGGGAGUACGGCCGCAAGGUUAAAACUCAAAUGAAUUGACGGGGGCCCGCACAAGCGGUGGAGCAUGUGGUUUAAUUCGAUGCAACGCGAAGAACCUUACCUGGUCUUGACAUCCACGGAAGUUUUCAGAGAUGAGAAUGUGCCUUCGGGAACCGUGAGACAGGUGCUGCAUGGCUGUCGUCAGCUCGUGUUGUGAAAUGUUGGGUUAAGUCCCGCAACGAGCGCAACCCUUAUCCUUUGUUGCCAGCGGUCCGGCCGGGAACUCAAAGGAGACUGCCAGUGAUAAACUGGAGGAAGGUGGGGAUGACGUCAAGUCAUCAUGGCCCUUACGACCAGGGCUACACACGUGCUACAAUGGCGCAUACAAAGAGAAGCGACCUCGCGAGAGCAAGCGGACCUCAUAAAGUGCGUCGUAGUCCGGAUUGGAGUCUGCAACUCGACUCCAUGAAGUCGGAAUCGCUAGUAAUCGUGGAUCAGAAUGCCACGGUGAAUACGUUCCCGGGCCUUGUACACACCGCCCGUCACACCAUGGGAGUGGGUUGCAAAAGAAGUAGGUAGCUUAACCUUCGGGAGGGCGCUUACCACUUUGUGAUUCAUGACUGGGGUGAAGUCGUAACAAGGUAACC
rnacentral:rRNA from 1 species